CCUACGGUAGGCAGCAGUGAGGAAUAUUGGUCAAUGGGCGCGAGCCUGAACCAGCCAAGUCGCGUGAGGGAAGACGGUCCUAUGGAUUGUAAACCUCUUUUGUCGGGGAGCAAAAGACGCCACGCGUGGCGUUCCGAGAGUACCCGAAGAAAAAGCAUCGGCUAACUCCGUGCCAGCAGCCGCGGUAAUACGGAGGAUGCGAGCGUUAUCCGGAGUUAUUGGGUUUAAAGGGUGCGCAGGCGGAAGAUCAAGUCAGAGGUAAAAUUGAGAGGCUCAACCUCUUCGAGCCGUUGAAACUGGUUUUCUUGAGUGAGCGAGAAGUAUGCGGAAUGCGUGGUGUAGCGGUGAAAUGCAUAGAUAUCACGCAGAACUCCGAUUGCGAAGGCAGCAUACCGGCGCUCAACUGACGCUCAUGCACGAAAGUGUGGGGAGCAAACAGGAUUAGAUACCCGAGUAGUC
rnacentral:rRNA from 1 species